AAAUGUGAUGCACAUUAUUCAAGACUUAUUAUUUAUUUAUAAGACUAUUAAGGUUUAAUAUUAGGGAUCUAAUAACGAAUUUUAUUUUAUGUUAUUGGCAGCACUGAAGGACGCUUCUACGGGGUUCACCCGAGCAAAUGCACGGAAAGCGGCAGCCAUUCCAGAAUAGGAUUAAGGAAGCAUUUGGCGUUUAUUGGGAAAGAAAAUUUCUUUGUUCUCGCGUUUAAACUUAUUUACGACGCCUGAAAUCAGCAUUCUCCUUAUGAGAUCCGCCGUUUUUUCAUAGUAAGUUCGGAUCUUAGGCAAGUCAGUGUGUGUUAGGUGUCAAGAUCAGGUAUCCGCGUCAUCAGUGGACUUUUAUACAAUGACACGGUGCAGUUGACUCCUUUUCCACUUCUCCAUUUUAUUGUCCUUCGCUGAUGGACUGUUUGCUGCUUGGUCGUCUUUAUUCUCAUCGACUUCUUAUCUUUCAUCGUACAUUUUAACUGAGGGUGAAGAAGGAAGAAAUUUCUGAAGUAUCUAAAGCCGAAGGUAAUGCUUCAUAAGUAAUGUAAUAAAAUCUAGCUCAUAAUCGUGGAGGGAAGUGUUGUGAUUUUACUACAGGCUCAUUUAGUUCUUCAUUAUCUUGGAAUGUUUCAAGAUAAUUCAUGAUAAUUAAGCAUUAUAAUUUCACAUUUAUAUCUCAUCCAAAACAAUUUUGUUUUUAUUCUAUAUUUAUUUCAUGUAAUAAGACAUGGUAAGUAAUUAAUGAAAAUAACAACAGCAGGAAUAAUAAAGAAAUGAAAAACAAGAUAUUUUAAACAGAAAUGGAGAACAUUCUACAUGUUUGCACGAUUAUCUCAUGUUCUUCAUUUUUUAAGAAUAUUAAUCAUUAUCAGUAAAUCCUAGCAUUAUAAACUUACCUUUAUGAAAUAAAGAAAAUUGAUAGUUCUUCACAAAAUAUACAUGUCAUGAAUUUCAAUGAUAUCGAGUGAAAUAUAAUAGAGUAACUUUUCUUAUAUAACUCAUAGGUUUUAUUAAGCUUUAAAUAUAUAUUUGCAGUCUUUAAAACAUCAGAGUUAAGCUCUUUAUUAAACCUUUAUUUUGUUGCAUAUAUUUGUAUACCUUGAUUCAUUAGUUAUCAAUGAAAAGAGGUAAGUUUAUUCAUGGUAAAGAAAGCUUUGCACAAAUAAAAUAUUUUGCAAAGUUUAAAUUAAAUUAUUUUAUAUCACGGUAGCUUGUUCUUUAAACAAAUUAUUGAAUAUUUUAAACAGAGAAAUUUUUUUAAUAUAGGACAUAAGUUUUAUAUGAUUACUUUACUGAUUAAAAAAAAAAAAAAACCAAUGUUUAUAUAAACUUCUGAGAAUAUCCAACAUGCAUACAUAUUCAAUUAAAAUAAGCAAAAUGAAAAUUACGAGAAAAGGUCGAGUAGGCAUCGUUCGUGAUUUUCAUGUAGUGGUCAGAUAGAUUAACAAAAAAAGGGGGAGCCAAAAAUGCUGAAGUGGAAUAUCUGCCGCAUCUCUAUCUCCUGACUCUUCUUUGCUGUGAAGUGCAUUUUUCUUGCGUGGUCCUUGAAAGCUGGGAGUCAUCGCCUUCUCAUUCAAGUGCAUUUCUGUUGCAUGCUCUACGUGGACACAGUGGUCAUCGAAUUACUCUACAAACUUUUCCAAACACUGUUCCUUCUGUUGCACUGAUACUUGAAAGUGCAGUACAAUACUUUUUUGUUUGGUUUUCAUUAUACAAGAAUAGUAAUAUACAUAUAUAGUCAUAUAUAAAUCUCAAUUCAGCACUAUGACUCCGCGUUCGUAAACGAUUAAACCGUACCGCAUUAAUGAUAAAACAAUCGUAAAAUAGGACUUUAUAAAAAUUUAAAUUUCUAAAUAUGAAAACGUAAAACGCAUAGUAAACAGCGUUGAAUCCAUCAUCGAAGAUGUUAACAUAAUCGUUUUACUGCUCGUCGCAAGAACGGAGUAUAUUUAUAUAUACGUGGACAACGGCAAUCUAAGAAUUACCUUCUGCCUACACAGCAUACGUGCUUCUGUUGUGUCGUGCGCAUACAGUUCUAUAUUUACAAUUUUUGAUGACGCAUAAUUAGAUCGUGCACACAACACAGAAGCUUGCCAUUAUUAUAAUAGUCAUGAGUUGUAUAACAUAUUUUCGUUCGUAAUCAUGCUGAGCGUUUCGACGCGACCUCGUUCGCGUAAAUUUGAGGUUAUGGACGUGACAGCAUUCGAAACUUCUUUCGCUCGAUUCAUUUCGGCGACAUUUUAAUGCAACUUUAUAGUGUAAUAUCGAGGAAGGAAUUCGAAAUCUGAUCCUCCUGAAGCUGAACAGAUUUUGAAACGAGAUUCUCCCCCUAGAUUGGAGAAACUACCCCUAAAUCGAUAAAAGAAAACCGGUAGGGUCGUCGCUGCUUCAGCACUUCGUAUGUACCUCAAACCGGAAGUAUACUUCUGCCGCAGUUUAUUUCUCCGCUAAAAAGACCAAAGUCUACAACAAGCGUUCAUCCAAGCGUGAUUUCAAAUUUCAUGAUCGUCCUCGACGAUUGAAAAGGAGACAGGAAACGAUAGGAAAAAAAGAAAAAAAAUGGGGCACGCAUUUGAAAUCUCCUUCUCCGGAGUUUCGUUUUAUACCUUCGACUACGUUAUGGACACGUCGCUGUUUGGAUGGAAGCUGAAAAAAAAAACUGGCAAUGAACAUCGUCGUUGUCGAUUGUGCCUUUUUGUUUUUUCAAUUGAAUGAUCGGUGCUGACAACGAUAGGCGGUCCCGAACCUCAGCAGACUUUAGCGAUGAUCGAUGCUCUAAACUGUAUUGAUCUUUACCUGAUCAGAAAGUUGCGACACUUAACUUCGUUAGAAACGUAAUUGAACUCGACUAUUAUUUGAUAACUUUAGAAGAAAUCUUGACUAGUUACAACUUACUUGCUCUGUGGAGUGAUCUCUGGAGUCUGUCGAGUGAUCCUCUCUAUAGGCUCGCAGCAGGAGGUUCCACGAAAUUAAGAUUCGAACACACAUGGUGAAGGAUUACGUUUGAAAAGCGUCUGCGCUGUUAAACUUUCGAUCUACCGUCGGUUCUAUUUAUAAACCUACCAAUCUGACGAAUUUCUGAAAAAGCGUGAUUGUGCUGAAUUAGGGUAACCAGACCCUGGUACCUUAAUUUGCUUUAUAUUAACUUCAGGAAAUUAAAUCCAAUUUAAAAGAUUUUAUGCUCUAUAAUUUCUCAAUAUCUAAAGAUUAAUAUUCUGAGUAAUAAUAUUUCAGUUUUGAUUCGCUGAAAACACAAGAAAUUUAAUUUUUAUCUUAUUGAUUGCUUAAGAUAAUGCGGAUGUUAUUUCUGCUUCGAAAAUUUGGCAUAAGUUUAAAUAAGAUGAUUUAUUCAAGCAAUACCUUCGUUUGUUUGUUGCUCGACAACGCGUUUCACGGAUUUAUCGGCGUUAACUCGAAUCGUUGGAGGAUCUACGCUCGUGGAAUUUACUAAAGCAAUAAACGUUCCUGGAUACACGUUGCUUUGGAAAAAAUCGUUCGAAUCUUGUCAGCUUCGCGAAUGGUUGCUGACCCGUGAAAAGGGUACGAUGAAAUAGAAAUACCUCUUACCAAUCGGAGUAUCUAGAGAACAAGUUUCAGACUUGUAAUCGCUGCAAAAUCAUCGCCGGCGCUACAGGAUCGCGAAACGUUUGAUUCAUUGGAUGCAGAUGCAGCAUAAAUGAGACACCAUCGCAUGAUCAAUCAUGCUCUGAUCGAUUAUACGGAGACUGUCCUGUGGGAUCUCUUCGUGUUUUUGCAUUUAAAUUCAACUAAAUCUUCAAUAUUUAUGCGGAUAGUAGGAAUUUUUAACAUUUACAAAAUUUCAUACGUAUAUCGUGCUAUAAUUAAUUACUUCGUUCAUCAUCAUUUUUUAGCUUGAAUAAUUUAUCUUUUAUGAAUUACACGCAACUGGAACGUUAAACACCACUUUGAACACGUGAACUCCAAAAAUAAAAAAAGAUACUGUAUAUACACACCUGUACAGGAUGAUUAAACACGCGUUGUUUCGAAAGAAAAUUUUUACUAAAUAUUUAUGAACAUACCUGCUGAUUGGAGUACUGAUAAUACCGCAAAAGGUUAUCAUAACAAUGUUACUUUUAUCGUGUUCUUAAAUCUUCUUAUUGAAAAAGAAUACUUCGAAAUAUUCCACUAAUUAAACGAUAAUUUAUGCGGAAGAUUAACAUCGACAGAUAGAAUGGUCGACAUCCUUUUAAUUAGCUGAUUAGUAGUUAAUUAGUGGGGUACCCUGGUAUCCGAGCACAAUGCGAAUAGAGAUCUAGGGCGAUUUUAAAAUACUCCAAUGGGAGCAUAAGAAAUUCUUCAGCUUUAAUAUACAUAGAAGAGUUAUUAACGCAAUGGAAAUACGAGCUGAGAUUUGAAAAUAAAAGUCUCCCUUUGCGAUUCCUACUUUUCCAUCGUCGUAGAAUGAAGCGAUCGAUGAAACCUUUGAGCUUCGUUUGCCGUCCGAAAGCUUAGAACAUCGGUACUACUGUUUCCUUGUACUUUAAUUUAAUACCGUUUUACAUUCGCUUUUGGUCUCUCUUAUUCUUGGAAAUAUUUACUUUCUUCAUUUGUGUGAAAUUUUCUUGAAAUACGUAAGGGAUACUGUUGGAUACUUGGAGCAUUUUGAAAUUUCAGUGAAUUUUGCUGUAUAUAAACGAAAUAUUUGUUAUUUAAACUAAAAACGAUAAGGACGAUGUUGUAUUAUAUACUGAGAGAUGUAUGUUAAAGAAUUGUACAAAAAAGAAGAACAAAGGAAAUAAAACAUCAGAAAACUUGAA